GCAGCAUUGUUCGGCUGGGCCGCUCCCGGCCAGCGCCGCGUGUGAGUGGCACGGACCUGCUCCGCGGUCUGCGGGGGCGGAUUGCAAAGGCUGGAGAAGCACCAACUCCCGUGUUGGCAGAACGGAAUGUAAGAGUACCAUGGAGCACAGCUAUGAAAAGCUCCAGGGAUUCAGAGGAAGAGCACAUUGUAGAGAAAAGAGGAGCAGAACGCGCGGCGGUGUGCCAUGAUCACGAAGGCAAAUUAGGGAAGCAAACAGGAAUGUUUUGCUUAGCAACAAAUUGUCCUUCAGAGCUGAGGAAGACUCUACAAGUAAAAGACAAAGCAGAAGACAAUUUAUGCAAGAUUUAAAAAACUAUGGUGCUGGUCUUCAAAAAGUCAUGUCACAUCAAGAAGAUAAACACCAAUAACUCCCCUUCCCCUGAAAGACAAACACCAUGGAUAAUCUACCAAAGAGAACAAGAUGAUUAAUCAACACUGACAUUCACUUUUGUGGUGUGUGUGUGGUGCCAGGGAUCAACCUUGUGCAUGCUAGGCAAGCACUCUACCAACUGAGCCAUAUCCCCAGCCCUGACAUUCACUUUCACUAAUAAUAAAAUGACCAAAUAACACAGACUGCUUCAAAUGACAGGAUUCUUUUUCAAUGGGGGUGCCAGCGAGGGACAGAGAAACAGACACACUUAUGCAGUAUUGGAAGAAAACCGAAUCAGUAUGAACUCACAUGAAAUACCCAGAGACUUAAGAAUAUUUAUGUCUUUGAUGCAAGAAGUCCAAGUUUAAAAAUCUACCUUAACAAUAUCACCGGAAAGACCACCAAAAACUUAUAGACAAGAGUGUUCAAUUUGCCACUCGACUUAAAAGUCUUAACAAUUUUCUGCUGCAGUAGAAUAAAAUCUAAACCCUA